ensembl:lncRNA
GCGAGUGUCCGUGCCGUAGGGUUUGAACGACGUUCAAAUGUCCCCGAUCCCACUGCCUACAAAUGCUGCGCGCUCAGAGGUGAAGGCGUAAAUCAUUUUGGACAGUUCUGUUCCAGGCAAAACCACCGGAGGUUCUCCAGCGCCCAAUCCAAAUCCACAAGCAGGUGGUGAGCUGUUGAAAGCCCUCACUUCACCCAGGAUAUCACACCUCCAGCCUAAUGAGACAGCUACAAACAACAGUAAACACUGACAAAACUGUCAGAGACAGAGACUCAAUGUCGGAAGGAAAAAUUGAAGGGAAGGAGACGUGGAUGAAGGGAAAAAUGGGAUUAGGACUUGCGUAAAAGGAUGAAGUGACGGAUGAGGAGGACGGGUAAAACAGAGGGGAAUCGGCAAGGGCGGAGGGGACACAGAAGUGGAAAGGAAGGAAUCAGGGACGGAAAGAGGCAGAGAAGAUGGUCUGACCAUCCAAUGCAGGGCUGUGUUUAGGGACACCUCUGGGACAUUACAGAUGGCUGGGCAACAGUUGAGCGAGGGAAAAGGGAAGUACUUCUCUUACAAAAUGGUGACACCAAAUUUUGGACGAUCUGCAAAAUAAUUGAAAUCCGACCAUACAGACACGAAACCGAGUGCCACUGUUUGUCUUUGGACUUCUAUGUGCUCUGAUUUUUAAACGCAAGCCUGAGCAAAAGUGUUGACUCACCACCACUUAGGGGGAAUUGAGGAAUUUGCCUAUCGUGUUCGGUAACGUUACAAAGUGGAUUAUUGAUGCUGCACCUGGGGGAGAAAAUCCUAUUUAAGCCACUAAGGGUUUAUAGAAUGCAGCGGCUGAGACAAUGGGGAGAGUCACAAUGUCGUCAAAGUCAAAUCUAGUAAGGUCAGUUUAAAAAGUGAAAGUCUUUAACAGCAAAUACCACCACACCAUUUAGUGAGGAGAGAUUCAUGUACCAACGGAUUUAUUUUCCAUUCUGUAUUUAUUUCUGUUCGUCCAUUUCCAACGGUAAAUGAGCCAUGCCUCACCUGGCCUCAGGUAAGAUGAGAGGAUCUGAAUAAAAAAAAAAAGCUUUCUUAACCUCCUAACGCUGUGUCCAGGAUCUGGUGACUGUAUGUUGUUAUCACCAGUAUGGUUGUUAAUUUAAUGCGGCAAACUCACCGCUCAUUUCUUGUCUUCUGUCAUGCUACUCAAUUAUUUACCUGCUGAUUCCAUUUCUUCAUCAUUUCCUGUAGGAAAAAUGAUGUUCUCAUCUUUCACUUUUUCUUGGCUUUAAAUGUAUCCUAUAAUGAGCAUGAGCCUUAAAACCAACAGUUACCUUUGACCAACCAAUGCUGUUGCCAAAGGUAAUACUUAAAAUCCGACAAUGAUGAAGCAGUCUGAUAUUUGUAACAUAUCCUUAUUGCACACAAGCCUCAGGUUUGGCUUAGUUGAAAUAUUUUGAAACUGUC